rnacentral:rRNA from 1 species
GGGGAAACGCCCGGUCCCAUUCCGAACCCGGAAGCUAAGACCCGCAGCGCCGAUGGUACUGCACCCGGGAGGGUGUGGGAGAGUAGGUCACCGCCGGAC